GGGGGCAUAGUUCAGUGGUAGAGUGCCUGUUCAGCAUGCACAAGGGCCCAGGUUCAAUACCCAGUGCCUCCA
rnacentral:tRNA from 1 species